rnacentral:lncRNA from 1 species
UCCCUUAAUGGCCAAACUUCCUGAAAGGCCUCCCACAUCAUCUCUGUUCUCACAGUGUGUUCACUUCUACAACCGGGCUUCACUUUCUACCCCUCCCCACAGUGAAUCUACCUUGCUGCUAGGUUGAAAAGAUUCUCUCCAGGCUCUGUGUCAUUGGAUCUGUCUGCAGCAUUUCCCGUCAACUUUCCUGACAAUACUCUCUGCUGAUUUCCAUGACAGCACUCCAUGCUAGUUCUCAACUCUUCAAUCACACCUGUUCAGACUCCUAAUUGACUGCCCCUUAUCCAUUAGUAGCCCUCCCUGGGUUCUGGCUUCUCACUCCACACAUUCUCCCUGAUUAUCUUAUCCUCAUUCCCAGCUGGAACCACCACCUCACUCCGACCCAGAUCACUCUUUUAAGCUCUAACUGCCCACAACUGCCCAUGGGACACAUCUUCUUAGUUGUUCCACAGGCACCUCAAAAUCACCAUCUUGUUAACCAGUUUUCCUGUCCUCUUACCUAAACCCAGUCUCAUCUCCCC